CGAACGCUGGCGGCAGGCCUAACACAUGCAAGUCGCAGGAGAAGCAUUCCUUCGGGGAUGUGGAGACUGGCGCACGGGUGAGUAACGCGUGGGAACCUACCCUGGGGUGGGGAAUAACCGCUGGAAACGGCGGCUAAUACCGCAUACGUCCUAUUGGGGAAAGCUUUCGGGCGCCCUGGGAUGGGCCCGCGUUGGAUUAGCUAGUUGGUGAGGUAAAGGCUCACCAAGGCUGCGAUCUAUAGCUGGUCUGAGAGGAUGAUCAGCCACACUGGGACUGAGACACGGCCCAGACUCCUACGGGAGGCAGCAGUGGGGAAUAUUGGACAAUGGGCGCAAGCCUGAUCCAGCCAUGCCGCGUGAGUGAAGAAGGCCUUAGGGUUGUAAAGCUCUUUCACUGGUGAAGAUGAUGACGGUAACCAGAGAAGAAGCCCCGGCUAACUCC
rnacentral:rRNA from 1 species